GUGGACUUCACAAACUGCAAAGAUUACCCAGAAUGAUUAACAGAGAAAGCCUUGCAGCGGUUUAAGGGUUUGCAGACUUGGAUUAAUCUGAGCAGUUGGAGGUAGAGGUCAUUGGCAGGCAGACCUCACUUCUCUCUUAACCUCUGACCUCUGCCCUCUGGCCACAGAGAAACCAGGGUUCCAUGGUUUGGAUCAUGGCCAUGUGUCUGUGUCUUAUAUCUGCAAACGUCAAGGUUGCCCAAGUAGGCUGUCUGACAACAGCCCUAUUCCAAAUCAUGUUAGUCUCAACACCGGCAGAAUGGUCCAAGGACAAUCUCGGGUCGGGUUGUGGUUCCUCAGUGUCACUCCUCCCAUCCACAGAUGUGGCCAUCUGGGCCCUGGUGCACCCCAUUCUCCAGCUUCCUGUCUGUGCACUGUGGAGGGCAGGAAGAGUGGAGCUGCCGGGAGUCUUUGCUCUAGACCUCUGGGAUGAGGGACAGCAGCCAGGCCCCAGUCUCCCCAGUGCCCUGUAGUACUGUCUCUGCUGCUGCUCGAUCCCCCUCAUACAGUAUCUAUGCUCCAAAUCCAGGCGACGGAGCAGGCCCUUAUGUUGUUGGACUUGGUACCUGUGUAGUCCAUGCUUCGUGGCAGUCAGCGGCUUCUGCAUUUAGUUGUCAGUGGCUUCUGUAGUAUCACCGUGUGGGGGAACGGAUUGCAAAACAAUGGUUGUUCAAUAAUUAGCUAUACCAGUGAAGUAACUGUGUAUUUCCUGUGGUAUCACCAUUAUAUUAACAUGUGAUAAUUGCUUCGUAAUGGAGUUGAGCAUUUUGUUGUUUAUAUUAUUACAACAAUGUAAAAAGGAAUGGCCCUUACUCUUGUGUAAUAACAAAGGUCUUCAUCAAUACAUCUUUCUCAUUUUAAAGGAAUGUAAAAUCAUACUAUGGAUAGACACCUCAUAAAAAUAUCCUUGUUCAAACUAACUUAUUCAUUUUACUCAUCAAAGGAUGUUUCAGAGUAAGUCAAAUAAAUUGCACUAACCUGAGAAUGAAAUCAGCAUCCCUUUGAUGAAUUUGAUGAGACACAUAUCUGCUACUGUGUAAUUUCCCCAAAUCUCACAGGGAACUCAAGCAUAAAGUUGGUUGUGUUUUCUCUACUUUAUAGGGAGUCUCUCUCUCUCUCUCUCUCUCUCAUUAUGUAAUAUGAUCCUCUGGCCCAUGUAGAUGUUGGUAGUCAUGUGAUCUCUUGAUAAGCUUUAUUUACAGCCCUCUGGAUUUCAUUCACUUCAUUAACAAAGUACAACAAUUUAAUCCCUGCUAAUUGACAGGUGACCCAAUUUUAUUUAAAAGAGCAUGUAAACCCCAAUAUUGAGAGUUGGUAUGUCCAUUAUUUAGCCAUAGCUCUCAGGACAUUGCAUGUGAGUUACAUUAUUGUUAUGGUGUAAGAAAGAGCCAAUGACAGACUUGUGGCUAUGAAAUAUUUACAGCAAACUUUUAAUAUUAC
ensembl:lncRNA